GUACGGGAGGCAGCAGUCGAGAAUAAUUCACAAUGGGGGCAACCCUGAUGGUGCAACGCCGCGUGGAGGAUGAAGGUCUUCGGAUUGUAAACUCCUGUCAUCCGGGAGCAAGACCUGACGGUUAACAGCCGGCAGGGUUGAUAGUACCGGAAGAGGAAGGGACGGCUAACUUCGUGCCAGCAGCCGCGGUAAUACGAAGGUCCCGAGCGUUGUUCGGAAUCACUGGGCGUAAAGGGAGCGUAGGCGGCGUGGUAAGUCAGAUGUGAAAUCCCGGGGCUCAACCCCGGAACUGCAUCCGAUACUGCCGUGCUAGAGGAUUGGAGAGGUAGCUGGAAUUCACGGUGUAGCAGUGAAAUGCGUGGAUAUCGUGAGGAACACUCGUGGCGAAAGCGAGCUACUGGACAACUCCUGACGCUGAGGCUCGAAGGCCAGGGUAGCGAAAGGGAUUAGAUACCCUGGU
rnacentral:rRNA from 1 species